rnacentral:rRNA from 1 species
UACAGAGGGGGCAAGCGUUGUUCGGAAUUACUGGCCGUAAAGGGCGCGUAGGCGGCCUUCUAAGUCGAACGUGAAAUCCCUGGGCUCAACCCAGGAACUGCGUCCGAUACUGGAAGGCUUGAAUCCGGGAGAGGGAUGCGGAAUUCCAGGUGUAGCGGUGAAAUGCGUAGAUAUCUGGAGGAACACCGGUGGCGAAGGCGGCAUCCUGGACCGGUAUUGACGCUGAGGCGCGAAAGCCAGGGGAGCAAACGGG